CAACACACAGACAGAAAAUGACAAAUAAACACACACACUCACACACACACACACAGGAGCCCACAGAAAAAAGCAAAUAGACGCAGAAACGGGCACGUGCAGUAGUUCUGGCCACACAUGUUCCCUAGGUAUCCACAGAAUGGCAUGGGUAUUGUAUAUUCAUAAAGAUGGAGAUCAGUCAUGGAGGCCAAGGACAAGUAGGUGCACUGGUUGAACUACAGUAGAGAAUGGCAUGGAAGUGGUGAGCAAUGGACCUGGGCCUGUUUCUCAAGUGUGUAUUUGAUUUCUUUACAAUUCCCCGGAGAAGUUGUCAUGGGAGGCCAGCCGCCUGCUGGCAAGGAAGAUGGUUGAUUCUUCUGAUCAAUGGAGGCCCUGCAGAGUCCUGUAGUCACUGUGGCCUGGCAUCCAUGGUGCACCCAAUGCUGGUGGAUGGCUUAGGACGCAGCAGUUGUCAUGAGAGGUCUGCCGCUUGCUGGCAAGGAAGAUGGUCAAUUCUUCUGACCAACAGAGGCUGCCUUGAGUCCUGAUUUGGUGUGGCCUGGCAUCUAUGGUGCACCCAAUGCUGGUGAGUGGCUCAGGGUGGUAAGCAUUCCUCUGCCCUGUGUGCAGAGGUGUCUUUUGAAUUUUGAGACCUGCAAAGAGCUGUUUCUCAGCAGGCCACUAAUGGCAUGGCGAGUUCCACUCCCAGAGCUGAUUGUCUGUGUUCAUUGCUCAGUGGUGUGGCUCUGGGUUCCCCCCAGGAUGCUGAAGGUGUUUAAGGUCAUCAGCUCUCCCACUGCCCAGCCUGUGGUGUCAAAU
rnacentral:lncRNA from 1 species